rnacentral:rRNA from 1 species
UACGUAGGUCCCGAGCGUUGUCCGGAUUUAUUGGGCGUAAAGCGAGCGCAGGUGGUUUAUUAAGUCUGGUGUAAAAGGCAGUGGCUCAACCAUUGUAUGCACUGGAAACUGGUAGACUUGAGUGCAGGAGAGGAGAGUGGAAUUCCAUGUGUAGCGGUGAAAUGCGUAGAUAUAUGGAGGAACACCGGUGGCGAAAGCGGCUCUCUGGCCUGUAACUGACACUGAGGCUCGAAAGCGUGGGGAGCGAACAGG